GUUGGUUGUUGAUUGAAGUUGUUUGAAGCGAAGAUUUGGCCUUGGUUUUGGUUCGUUCGGUGGCUCUGCACAAAAGUCGAUUUGGCUAGGGUUCGUGUAACUCUCUGAUGAUGGAGCUCAUGCGAUUAAACUGAUGGCGUUAUAGCUCUUCAAUUUGCUAAAAUUGUCCGACGGGUCUCUUCUUCUCCGGUAUCCUGUUUCCGGUGUGUCAGGUGGAUCUACGGGGAGUUGUUCCGGCGACGAUUUUCAUGUCGUGAAGUUCGGUGGCGUUUCAGUUAUCGGGCACAUGUCUAUCCAACGCUAACAGGGUAACGCGUGGAUGUGUCCG
rnacentral:lncRNA from 1 species